GUGUUACUAGGGACAAACAAAAUAGAAUUAAAAUCCAUCCAAUAUGUGAAAAUUCAUCGCUGGGCCUAAAACCAAUGACGAAAGUAAUUCUAACUAACCUUAAUACACGAUAGCUAAGAUCCAAACUGGGAUUAGAUACCCCACUAUGCUUAGCCCUAAACUUCAAUAAUUUUAAAACAAAAAUAUUUGCCUGAGAACUACUGGCUACAGCUUAAAACUCAAAGGACUUGGCGGUACUUUAUAUCCAUCUAGAGGAGCCUGUUCUAUAAUCGAUAAACCCCGUUAUACCUUACCACCCCUUGCUAAUACAGCUUAUAUACCGCCAUCUUCAGCAAACCCUAAAAAGGAAUAAAAGUAAGCAAGAGAAUCACCAUAAAAACGUUAGGUCAAGGUGUAGCCAAUGAGGUGGGAAGCAAUGGGCUACAUUUUCUUACGAAGAACAUUACGCUACCCUUUAUGAAACUAAAGGACAAAGGAGGAUUUAGUAGUAAAUUAAGAAUAGAGAG
rnacentral:rRNA from 1 species